rnacentral:rRNA from 2 species
AGCUCCAAUAGCGUAUAUUAAAGUUGUUGCAGUUAAAAAGCUCGUAGUUGGAUCUCAGGUCCCGGCUCGCGGUUCACCUCGCGGUGCUUUACUGCCCGUCCGGACCUAACCCGCCGGUCUCCUCCCUUGGUGCCCUUCGCUGGGUGUCUCGGGUGGCCGGAAAGUUUACUUUGAAAAAAUUAGAGUGUUCAAAGCAGGCGCUUCCGCCUGGAUAAUGGUGCAUGGAAUAAUGGAAUAGGACCUCGGUUCUAUUGUGUUGGUUUUCGGAGCUCGAGGUAAUGAUUAAGAGGGACAGACGGGGGCAUUCGUAUUACGGUGUUAGAGGUGAAAUUCUUGGAUCGCCGUAAGACGAACUACUGCGAAAGCAUUUGCCAAGAAUGUUUUCA